GACGAACGCUGGCGGCGUGCUUAACACAUGCAAGUCGAACGGAAAGGCCCUGCUUUUGUGGGGUGCUCGAGUGGCGAACGGGUGAGUAACACGUGAGUAACCUGCCCUUGACUUUGGGAUAACUUCAGGAAACUGGGGCUAAUACCGGAUAGGAGCUCCUGCUGCAUGGUGGGGGUUGGAAAGUUUCGGCGGUUGGGGAUGGACUCGCGGCUUAUCAGCUUGUUGGUUGGGUAGUGGCUUACCAAGGCUUUGACGGGUAGCCGGCCUGAGAGGGUGACCGGCGACAUUGGUACUGAGAGACGGCGCAGACUGCAACGGGAGGCAGCAGUGGGGAAUAUUGCACAAUGGGCGGAAGCCUGAUGCAGCAACGCCGCGUGCGGGAUGACGGCCUUCGGGUUGUAAACCGCUUUCGCCUGUGACGAAGCGUGAGUGACGGUAAUGGGUAAAGAAGCACCGGCUAACUACGUG
rnacentral:rRNA from 1 species